rnacentral:rRNA from 1 species
UACGUAGGGUGCGAGCGUUAAUCGGAAUUACUGGGCGUAAAGCGUGCGCAGGCGGUUCGCUAAGACAGAUGUGAAAUCCCCGGGCUUAACCUGGGAACUGCAUUUGUGACUGGCAGGCUAGAGUAUGGCAGAGGGGGGUAGAAUUCCACGUGUAGCAGUGAAAUGCGUAGAGAUGUGGAGGAAUACCGAUGGCGAAGGCAGCCCCCUGGGCCAAUACUGACGCUCAUGCACGAAAGCGUGGGGAGCAAACAGG